CGAGAGAGGAGUGACCAUUUCAGUUUUCCAUCUUUCCCUCCCCGUUUCCCCUCAUCCUGAGAGAACCUGAGAGAUGUCUCAUGAUCACACCUCUUGGUGUGGUGUAGCAGUCACUGAAGUCGUCUACGUGUGACUUUAGUCACAUGACUUUUUCAUUGUGAUGACUUCCAUGACGAUCAUCAAAUGUAAACAUUCAGAAUGUCUUUGGCCCCCAGAAUUUUAGCUAACUCGCACCUAGCAUCCACCCCAUGUGGCCGACUCCAGAGGUUGAUCCCCCUCUUCAGUGUGUGCAGAACCCAGGGAAUUAAUUUGGUUUUCAGAGUCCUGAUGAGGUUGAGGGUCUGGUGAACCUGUGAGAGCAAUGGAAGGUAGCGGGUGGGUCUAAUGCAAGCAUCUGAGCCCUUUAUAAGAGGCUGGACUUGGCUGAGACCACAGAGAUCUCCAGUAAGAGCCAGGUUGUCAGGGAAGGAGGUUCCCCACAGCCCAGGACCUGCUGGGGAGACUAAGCAGCAGGACCUCUUACCCGCAGUCCAGCGAGCUGCACCUCCUGCAGGUACCAGGCUCAGCCCAAGGAGAGCUGAAAGGCGGCGACCCAGCACCACGGCGCUCACCAAGCAGACCGCCCCCAAAGCCACCGCCGGGCAGGGGCAGGCCCCCAGGAAGCCCCCAGUCACCAAAGCCCCAGUCAAGAGAGCGCCGCCUAGAGGAGGGAUCAAGAAGCCUCACCGCUACAAGCCUGGCACCCUGGCGCUGCAGGAAAUCAGAAAGUACCAGAAGUCCACGCAGCUGCUCCUGCACAAGCUGCCUUUCCAGCGCCUGGUGCACGAGAUCGCUCAGGUCAUCAGCCUGGACCUGUGCUUCCAGAGUGCGGCCAUUGGGGCCCUGCAGGAAGCCAGCAAGGCCUACCUGGUGAACCUCUUUGAAGACACCAACCUGUGUGCCAUCCAUGCCAGGCGCGUCACAAUUAUGCCCGGAGACAUGCAACUGGCCCGCCGCAUCCGCGGAGAGGCUGAACAAUAUAAGCAGGAACUGGAAAAGAAAGAUGAGUUCCCUGCAUGGUAGAACAUAGAAGCUACAUGGACUGGGAAGAUUCAUUCCAACUCUUCAUCCUACCAGACCUGAAUCGACUCUGCUCUCCCGUGGGUACCCCCAUCCUUUAACUUCGGGGUAUGGAAAGAUCAAGACAGAAGAAAAUAAAAGAAGAAGAAGAAAAGGGGCAAGGGAACAGAAAAGAAAGAGAGGCAUGCUCUAUAAGAACUGGCAUUUCCUUAGAAGUGGAACAAGAAAAUUCAAACCCAACUAUGCCCCUCCGUCCCCUAACCCUUCCCUAUCGAAGCAAGCCGGCUCCUCGGAACCACUGUACUGAGAUCUCUAACAAUGCUGUGCUAACUUUCCCCUGCCUUGUUCCUCUAACAGCUCUCCACCCAUCCUUGAAUAAUGAGAAUCAGCUGACAAACUCUAGGUCUUAGAGAUUUAUAUGCUUCACUUGAUUUUAGAAUCGGGCAUGAGAUCCAAGGGGGUGACAAUCUCAGAGCAUAGUAAGAAACACGUAUUUAUUCCUAAAGACUUUCAGGUUGACUGUAGUGUGCAUUUAUCUUGAAUGAUUUGAUUUCUGGGGUGUGUGUGUGCGUGUGAGCAUGUAUGUGUUGUGUAAGAAUUGUAUUACCACUAAAACUCUCCAGAAUAUAGUAAGACU
rnacentral:lncRNA from 1 species